AAUCAGCUCCCGCCAGCCACUCAUAUCUUGUCCAGGUGUGCUUCAUCGUCUCAUCAAUUUGUAUUUCAGUAUGUAUCAGUUUGGUCAAUCUGCCGGGUUGAUGUUCCUACAAAUCACGUUUCUAGUCUUGAUCCUCUUGUUGAGAUUCAUCCUGCCUUUCCUUGCUGCUUCCCUGCACCGGGUCUCCUUGGAAACGUGCUGAUUUGUGGACUGACUGCUGACAGGAGCUUGGUGCCCGGCCCAGCUUGUGGACUGCACACAUGCUAGUUAACACACACACACACACACACACUUUACUCGGUAUUCUCUAGCAGCACCUACUGGAGGAAGUGUAAAUCUACAGAAAUUGUCCAAUAGUGGGAAUGUGGCGCAACUCUUGCACAUGCAGCCAGAGUGAACAAAGCUAUGUCUUGAAAAAAUAAACACUGCAUGUAAAAAUACA